AACGAACGCUGGCGGCAUGCUUAACACAUGCAAGUCGAACGAGGACUUCGGUUCUAUCGGCGGUGGGGUGAGUAACGCGGGGGAAUGAGCCCUUCUCUACGCAAUCGCCCUCUGUAACUUGGAGUCAUACAGUAUACGCUCUUUCUGGGUAAGAUUUAUCGGUGGAGGGUCAGCCGGCGUUGGAUUAGGUUGUUGGGGGGGUUAUGGCCUACGCCGGCGACGUUGCUUAACUGGUUAGAGAGGAUGAGCAGUCACACUGGGACUGAGACACGGCGCAGACUCGUGCGAGAGGCAGCAGUGGGGGAUCGUAGACUACGGGGGCGACCCUGAUGGAGCCAUGGCGCGUGAGUUGUGAAGGCCUUAGGGUUGUAAAGCUCUUUCAACUAGGAAGGUGAUGACGGUACCAGCAGAAGAAGCCCCGGCUAACUACGUG
rnacentral:rRNA from 1 species